rnacentral:rRNA from 1 species
CCUAAAAUAAUCUUGUUACACUCCAUUUAGUCUGUGCCGGCUAUUUUUCUUCUGUUAGAGAGGGGGUAGUGACGGAUCAUGUCAUCAGAUGCAUCAUCAUAAUUCUUUUUUUGCAAUCUAAAGAGUUUUUUUUUUUUGCAGUCAGUAGGAGAGGUGACGGCGGAGUGUAAGAAGAGACCUAUCAAGGGGUGGUGACGGAGUGUUAGAGGAGACAAGGGGUAAGAGAGGUGGUGUUGGUCGCGAGGGACCAGUCCGGCGGGGAAGGGAAGCAGUGGUGACGGCCGCGAGGGACCAGUCCGACGGGAGGGGAAGCAGUGGUCGCAGUGGCGAGGGAUCGUCCGGCGGGGAGGGGAAGCUUAGUCUAGCGUCUUCACCAGCCCUUCUAGGAGCUCGAGCCGUACGAGCGCGGUCACCAUCCGCGGCAACCUACGCCUGCGCCUCCGAGCCCUGAACGUGCGGGAUGAGAUGGGACAAGGAAGGUUAGGCCGGGGCUUCACGAGCUCCUCCGCGAGCUCCAGCCGUACGAGUGGCCGCUACGAACCAGGGAGGUAAGAGGACCAAGGGAGUGGCAGCGGUUGUACUCGGAGAGGUGAGAGAGGGCGCGCUAGCAGGUCCAGAUCGGGGAAGACCAACACUCACCUAGGUUCUCAAGUAUACUACGUCAUAGAAAAACUUUCUACUAUCUAAUAGAAGUAUUUUCUUUCCUUCAACCUCUUCAAUAAUGACUUCUCCUUAAGUCACGAUACACGAAGAGUUCUCGAUUUGACCUUGUUCUUCACGUACUGAGAGUACGGAUGUGAUUGAUUAGUCCCCACUCUUAAUGAAUAGCUACUGAGCCCGUAGUUGAGAACUAAAAGCCGCCUUCUGUGUCCCAGUCUUGUUGACCAGACCCGGCAACGCGGGUCAUUUACGGUAGUUUUUAUUUAAGGGAUGGAUAUUCUUACCAUGCUUACCCUAUCAGUAGUUUAAACGACUACUCGGUCUUUGCGGUACUGAAUUCCUCAGACAACGGUUUCUCUGUUGUCUAGACGAACUAGCCGCAGUCGCAGAAAGUCAGGUGCUCGAGCGUUACUUUAAACUCUUCCCGGAGUUAUGACGGUGUAAUAAUAGAUUGCUCCAAUUUACAUUUGUUCACCGAAAUAAUCUCGCUCUGUAGGAAGACUUCUUAGAUUUCUCACAUAACCUCAGUGACUCUCCAGUUCAUCGACCGUUUAUAUUCCUACUUUAACCCCUUAGCCAUAGAUACCACCUAUAAAAUCGUCAAGUCGACAGGUUUUGUCUUUUACUCAACGAAGUCGUCUUUUGGCUCCAGUGCUCUUAUCGCUGAAGUGAUUUUGACCGAAGACUUCUACGAUCCUCUUAACAACUGCUUCUUGCUUGAUUACGUGCGUACCUCUAACUUUUACGAUCUCGACGACAUGUUUCUCAAGUUUUUCAUGAAUUUCUCUUUCUCUUGUUAAGUGUUUCUUAAUCUUUCCUCAACGUCGGGUGGAUUAUCCUGACGAACUAAGGCAGCUCAUACCUUUUUCGCUUUCCAUAAAAUGCCAGAGAAAACGCAAGAAGAAGACAAUGAACGUAUAAAAGACACCAUAGUAAGUUCAGUAGAUGACUACAGAAGGAACCCAAAGAGAGUUUUCGCUUUCCAUUUUUGUUGUACUAUCGUUUGCUCAUACCUUUUUCGUGUUAGUAAAAUGGAAGAUAUAAAAAUAGACGUUAAUGUAGUCUGCACGGGCAUCGAAAUCCUCCUAUACAACUAAGUAAUACGCCCUAACUACAUAGUUGGCUCGAUCGACCCAGUAGAUUAUAUUGUACGAACCAAUCAUAAAUAAUUUUACCGACUUGGUACUUACGAUCCUACAUUGUAUUUUAUUAGAAUGAACUUAAUGUUUCCCCUGCUUCUAGUUGAAAGGACACGAAUAGUAGAGUGCACCCAAACUAAUCGACGGGGUUGUAUACUAGACGGGGUUGUAAUCAAGGAUAACAUUAGGUCGUCCCCGCAAGUCUUUCGUUUCUCUUCAAUUUGUAUUAGUGUUUAUCAUACUAACAGUUUAUGCGUGUAUAUUGAUUGCUGUAACAUUUAGGUGGUUUAUACAUGGUCCCUAGUGUAUACUUCUAACAACUUGUAAACACUAUAGUGUAUCUCAUGCCGCCACUUGUUAGCCGGGUAGCAGAUCUACCAAAUAUUUUGGUAGACUGAAGAAUCACGCUAUUCUACGGGCGGAGGUGCGCAACUAUUCUAGGGAUACCAGAUGGUAAAAAUGUUGUCCAUACUCUCAAUCUCUUGUUUUUUUCAUACAUGUUUAGUGAAUCUAUCUACAACUAUGUUGUAGAUACUUUGGUUGUGCCCCUUGUAGAUACUUCAGUCCAAUGAUAUUGCUAAUUAAACGUAUGAUAUCCAUAAGUCUUUUUGGGUUCUCAUCAGUCGUUUUAGUGCGAAUUUAUGAAUGGUCAGAAACUUUCCCUACCGACUAAUAGGAGAACAUUGGACUGGUAUAGGAGGAGAAAAAAGAAGCCUAUUCUAAGUGCGGAGAUACGCAACUUGACGAGGGAACAAAGCGGUUGCAAAAAAAGAAGUAAUGUAUGUCGAUGACAACGUACGACGAACCUUCAAAACAGUAGACGUAAUGCAAUUCGCAUUUUUGGUGUUUCGGGUAAUUCGAGUAGACCCUUUUACCUGAUUUGGAGAGACUAGGCGAUGGCCUCUACAGCUAAACCUUCGACAUAUUCGUACGGACACUUAUGGAACUCAUAGUGGAGCAUCGAAUCAGUAUGGUAGGAAUAAUAAGAGUCUUAUGCUACCUUAGGGCAGCAAACUUCCAAGGGCGGGAUCUAGAAUCGUUAGUUGUUUUAUAUGCUAUACGUGCUUUGUAAUCGUCGUUAGAACUGUGUCAGAAUAUGGACGAGGGCAGCACAUUUAUAGCACUUAUAAACGUACAUUCCCAUACUUCAAACGUAACAUCAGAGGUUGUAAAUAGGGCGAGCAUUCCUGACGUUGUGUAUUUUACGUAAGACGGUGAAAGUCUUUACGUGCACUCCGUUGUAAAUAUUGGUUAGAAGCGUGUCAUAAUAUGGAUUAAGGCAGCACAUUUGCAAUAGUUGUUAAAGUCGAUGCCCAUACUACGAGCGUAACACAAGACGUAGUGAAGAGGGCGAACAUUCUGGACCUUCUGUAAUACGUAUGUCGGACAGUGACAGUCUAUAAGUCCAGAGCGUUGAUUUGUUUUUGUACCAUCUGACGUAGUAUGGACAUCAAUGCAGUAGAAGACCAACUACAAGCACACGGCACGAAAAACUUAAGGGGUAUACGUUGAUAACUUACCGUUUUUAGUACUUCUGUCUUUACCAUCAAGAAACUACUAGAAGUGGUUGUACCAUUAAAGAAGAUGUAGAAACUGUAAGACGUUCCCAAUAACAAGAUGUAUAUAUGACGUUGUACAACGAUCGUAUAUGACGUUAACAUAAAAUAAGAUGUAUAUAUGACGUUACCGUGAAAGUAGAUGUAGAAGAUGUAGAGACAUGAAAUAAUCUUACGUUCACAAAAACAAGAUAGAAAUCAAGUCGUGUUCACCUUUGUAUGAGAACCCAGAACAUACCAAAUACAAAAGAAAAAACGGUAUAAGUGAGUUCACGUCCUACGUCCUAUGAGGAACCAUGUUUUUUACGGUUAACGGUUGACAUUUGUACACAUGAACUCAGAUAAAAAUUGUACUUUUUUUGGAUUUGACACACGUUGUCUUUAGUUAGAGCGUCCGCCUAGGUAGGGACACUUUCGUGAACGGUACCGACAUACUGUACGCUACCUACAUACCCGACACUCUACAUACUCUACGCUAACAUACCGUAAACUCUACAUACUCUACGCUAACUGCAUACUCUACCAAACAUAUGGAUAAAAAGCCUAGAUCCUGCACAAGACCGGCCUAGGACCUGCACAGGCGCAUAUGCGCAGAUCCUAGUCGCGGCCUAGGACCUAGUUCCCGCUCCUCAAGUCGUGCCGCCGCUUCACUACCUCCCGCCGCCGCUGGACUAGGUCCUGGUCGCGGCCUAGCAGCUCCACAAGUCGCGCCGCCGCUUCACUACCUCCCGGCGCCGCUGGAACAGGUCCUAGCUGCGCCUACCUCCUGCCGCUCACUUCGCCCCCGCCGCUGGAGCUGGUGCUACCUCCCGCCGCUGCUACCUCCCGUCGCUGACUUCGCGCCGCCGCGUCCCUACAUCCCGCCGGUGCUUCCCUCUGGAGCGAGCUAUUGUCCUGAGCAGCGAGGAUGCACGCAAGCGUGCCAAAAAGACAGCAACCAAUUGGCAGCAUCCAAAAAAACAGCGUCCAAUUGGAAGCAUGCAGAUAACUCCCAGUGUACACCUAUCCACGCCCAACCCCGGAGUCCUCCUCCAAAAAAACCAAACACCACCGAAUCACUCUCCACCCUCCUCCAUGGUUUUAUUUGGUACCCUCCACCCUGAUUUUUUUUAGACCUUCGCUCUGAUGGUUGACGAGGGAAUCCUCAUCUUCUAAAAUGGUAAUAAUAGAUUUUGUACGUUUUGUUUAACGUGUUAGAAGUGGUAUUGAAAAUAAUCAACUGUGAGUAAGGGGUGGCAUUAUAAUGAAGACGUGGGGAAGAGUAGGAAAAUAGAGCAGCAAUUUACUGAGUAGUAAUUCAUAGUCGGGACAGAGGAGAAGAAUCAGGAGGACGUAGGGAUCUCUGCCGGCUGCGACAGUCGGCGAUGGAGGUACAUACCACCUCGUUACGUUGUCGGCCGUGGUAACAGGACGGUGUUGCGUCGAGGUAUAGGGGAGCUGGGGAG